UCAGAACGAACGCUGGCGGCAGGCUUAACACAUGCAAGUCGAACGCCCCGCAAGGGGAGUGGCAGACGGGUGAGUAACGCGUGGGAAUCUACCCAAUUCUUCGGAACAACUGAGGGAAACUUCAGCUAAUACCGGAUGUGCCCUUCGGGGGAAAGAUUUAUCGGAAUUGGAUGAGCCCGCGUUGGAUUAGCUAGUUGGUGGGGUAAAGGCCUACCAAGGCGACGAUCCAUAGCUGGUCUGAGAGGAUGAUCAGCCACACUGGGACUGAGACACGGCCCAGACUCCUACGGGAGGCAGCAGUGGGGAAUAUUGGACAAUGGGCGCAAGCCUGAUCCAGCCAUGCCGCGUGAGUGAUGAAGGUCUUAGGAUUGUAAAGCUCUUUCACCGGUGAAGAU
rnacentral:rRNA from 1 species